rnacentral:rRNA from 1 species
AACGAACGCUGGCGGCAGGCCUAACACAUGCAAGUCGAACGCGCGUAGCAAUACGCGAGUGGCGCACGGGUGAGUAACACGUGGGAACCAACCCAGAGGUUCGGAAUAACCGCGGGAAACUGCGGCUAAUACCGGAUGUCCCCAUGGGGAAAGAUUUAUCGCCUCUGGACGGGGCCCGCGUCCGAUUAGCUAGUUGGUGAGGUAACGGCUCACCAAGGCUACGAUCGGUAGCUGGUCUGAGAGGAUGACCAGCCACACUGGAACUGAGAUACGGUCCAGACUCCUACGGGAGGCAGCAGGUGGGGAAGUAUUGGGCAAUGGAGGGCAACUCUGACCCAGCCAUGCCGCGUGGGUGACGAAGGUCUUCGGAUUGUAAAGCCCUUUCGGCGGGACGAUGAUGACGGU